AACGAACGCUGGCGGCAGGCUUAACACAUGCAAGUCGAACGAGACCUUCGGGUCUAGUGGCAGACGGGUGAGGAACACGUGGGAACAUCCCUUUCAGUUCGGAAUAACGUUGGGAAACUAACGCUAAUACCGGAUACGUCCUUCGGGAGAAAGAUUUAUCGCUGAAAGAUUGGCCCGCGUCUGAUUAGCUAGUUGGUGAGGUAAUGGCUCACCAAGGCUACGAUCAGUAGCUGAUCUGAGAGGAUGAUCAGCCACAUUGGGACUGAGACACGGCCCAAACUCCUACGGGAGGCAGCAGUGGGGAAUAUUGGACAAUGGGCGCAAGCCUGAUCCAGCCAUGCCGCGUGAGUGAUGAAGGCCUUCGGGUGGUAAAGCUCUUUUGUCCGGGAAGAUAAUGACUGUACCGGAAGAAUAAGCCCCGGCAAACUUCGUGCCAGCCGCCGCCGUAA
rnacentral:rRNA from 1 species